AAGAAAGAUCUAAGAACUGCUAAUUCUUAAUACCAUACCUAACAAACAUGGCUUUCUUA
rnacentral:tRNA from 1 species